rnacentral:lncRNA from 1 species
AUUAAAUUUAACGACUCAGACAUAUCAACCGCAAACAGUUGCACAUAAAUACAGAUCCAAGCUUUGAAAAUUAAAAAAUAUCCUGAGCAACAAAACAACUUGGUAGUGUUGUAUUGUCAAAUAUGUAUGAGAAGAUCCACAGGAGGCACCAAUUACCUUAGCAUUCACACCAUCAGGCAAAAUCCUGUUCUCUGAUUUGUACUUGAGGUAAUCGACUCGGUUAAACUUGGUGAAACCCCUGCAAAAAUUAAAUACUAUGAUGAAUAACAGAUACUUGAGGUAAUCGACUCGGUUAAACUUGGUGAAACCCCUGCAAAAAUUAAAUACUAUGAUGAAUAACAGAACAAAAGAACUAUUCAAAUACUCAAUUGCAAUGGUGUCUAACCGAAACCAACUAGAAACAUGAUGGCAAUGAAUAAAAGACAAGUUUUUUAAUACAAAGCAUAUAAAACAUAAUUCAAAUGAAAGUCUUCAUGUUUGGAUAAAAA